UGGGGAAUUUUGGACAAUGGGGGCAACCCUGAUCCAGCCAUGCCGCGUGCGGGAAGAAGGCCUUCGGGUUGUAAACCGCUUUUGUCAGGGAAGAAAUCUUCCGGGCCAAUACCCCGGAGGGAUGACGGUACCUGAAGAAUAAGCACCGGCUAACUACGUGCCAGCAGCCGCGGUAAUACGUAGGGUGCAAGCGUUAAUCGGAAUUACUGGGCGUAAAGCGUGCGCAGGCGGUUGUGCAAGACAGGUGUGAAAUCCCCGGGCUUAACCUGGGAACUGCACUUGUGACUGCACAGCUGGAGUACGGCAGAGGGGGAUGGAAUUCCGCGUGUAGCAGUGAAAUGCGUAGAUAUGCGGAGGAACACCGAUGGCGAAGGCAGUCCCCUGGGCCUGUACUGACGCUCAUGCACGAAAGCGUGGGGAGCAAACAGG
rnacentral:rRNA from 1 species